AAAACUGUUAAAUCAAAAGCAAAAUAAUAAAAGUCCAAAUACAAAAUAGUCGCAAUUCAUAAACACGCAUAAAUUUAAAAGUCUACUACAAAUUAUAAGUCCAUGGCAACCAAAAAAUAAAAAAAGUUCAUAACAGUUCAUUGAUAUUCGAUAAAACUCCACCAUAACACAAGCCAUAGAUACAUCCACCGUAACACACAAGUUACAGCUACAUCCACCGUAACAAACAAGCCACAACUACAUCCACCAUCCAUAUCACCUAAAUCAAAAUUCAAAGUGAGCCAAAGCGAAUAAUUAAACUAACUAAAAUGAAGUGAUAUUUAAUAACAAAUAAAUACAUAUAAAUUUUAUUACCUAAAAAUUAUUUAUGUUGAACUGCAGUUUUCAUGUUAAUCUACCAAGUUGGUCGACCGUUGUUGAUUUACGAAGUUCUACAUUAAAAAAAAAAUUAACAAAUUGAAUAAGGUUCAUAUUACUUAAAAAAUAAAUUAAAAUUAAACAAAUUGUAUAAGGUCAUAAUUCUUUAAAAGUAAACUUAAAUUAAAAUUAAACAAAAUAUACCUUCUGCAAGUUGAUCCAUAAACUCGUUGUCUUUAACUAACUUAUUUAAGUUUGCUGUUAGAUCCAUAAAAAGAGGAGACCGCAACCAAUUCUGUAAUAAUACCAGUGCCUCAACCAUGUCCGGAGUCAAAGAACUUCUAUAUUGAUCUAAAAUACAACCUCCAGUACUAAAGGCGGACUUGGAGACAACAGUAGAUACUAGAAUAGCAAGAACAUCCCUUGCUAUACUUGACAAAAUAGGAUAAUUCACACUAUUCACCCUCCACCCUAUCAAAAUAUCAAAUUUAGUUCUCCACUAUAUCAAAAUAUCAAAUUUAGUGCCCAAAUUACCUUUUGCCAUUUUUUUAGUCUUCUCCAUCAAGUAAAGAUCCAACUCAUUUGACAAUUUCGGGCUACCUUCACUAACCGCAAAUGCCUUACUAGAUUUGGAGAAAAGGUCCUCAAUCAUAACAUCAUCAUCACCACCUAAAUCUCAAAAAUUCGAACCACUUCCACUUCCAUUAGCUAAAGUUUGGCUUCCACUUGUACUUCCACUUGCACUCCCACUACCACCCAGUUUAUAUUGUGCAUUGUAAGACUCAUAAAGCUUAGUCAACAAAUCUUUCACCAUUUCAUUCAUCUCAACACAUUUGGCACUAUCCUUGCCAUAUAAUUUCUCAAAGCAAGUGUUGCUAAUUUCAUUUUUCCCCAUGGAUCAAGUACAAAAGCAACAAUCAACAAUUUAUUUAUCUUGAAACAGCCCUCCCAAUACUUAUCAAAUUUCUCCUUCAUUUUAAUAGCCAUCAAACCCAAAAGGCUAUCAUUACUAGCAGACAACGAUUCCAAAGAUUGUUCAAUUUGACAUAUCAAAUUGUAACAAGUAUUCGAUGCCACCUAAAAGAAAAAAAUAAUGUUAAUCAAGCUAAAAUAAAUUCCAUAUCAUAUAUCAAAAUUAAAAAACAUAAUAAAGAUGUGAUGUUACCUUCAAAGAAGAAGAAAAUUACAAAGUCGUAUCAUAAAAAGUCUUUAGAAAUUUAACUAUGCGACGAGCACUCUCCCAAUCACUGUACAGUGGUGACCCCUCCUUUUUCUUCUUCCUACCCUCUUUUUUAUUGAAAUAAGCAUCAUAAAGCUUAUCUUCAAGUGUCAUCCGAUCAAAUGCCGGCUUAAAUUUCAAUGCUAUACUCAACAUGAAAUAUGUAGAAUUCCACCGAGUAGGACAAUCCAAAAUCACACUUCCUUGGCAAUUAAUCUUCUGUUGUUGCACACGAGUUUGAAAUGCUUGCAUUUUGCAGUGGAAGAUCUCACAUACUUCAUAACAUUCUAAACAUUAACUAUACUCGACUCCAGUUCCUUCAACCCUUCAGUAACAAUCAAAUUCAAUAUAUGUGCACAACAACAAACAUACAAAUAAUCCCCAUUCAACACUAAGACAUCAUCGCUCCAAGUCUUUAGUCGAUCAAUUAAGUACCUAAGAGCACCCUCAUUUGGACUUGCAUUGUCAACCAUUACAGUAAACUCUCGCUCUAUACCCCAGUCAAUUAAACAUUUUUCAAUUUGCUUAUCACUUGUUACCGAUGAAUGAUCAUUAACCGUGUUGAAGCUAAUAAUCUUUCUAUGUAAAUUUCAAUCCUUGUCAAUAAAGUGAGCUAUGAUGACCAUGUAGCUAACUGUCGUAAUGAAAGUCCAAAUAUCAAUGGUCAAAGAUACUCUCUGCUUAUUCCUAACCAAUAACCUCUUCAACUUAGCCUUUUCCUCGACAUACAUAUCAAGAGUAUCCCUAGUAAUGGUUUUUCGUGAUGGAAGAAGAUAUCUAGGAGCCGCCACACUGCAAAAAUGCUUAAAACCCAGAUUCUCCACAACAGAAAAAGGUAAUUCAUCAAGAACAAUCAUCUUCACAGUUGCUCGUCUGCAAGCAUCCUGACUAAAACCUCUUGCUACAAUUUCAUCACUACCGACAUCUUGAGUUAAAGUUGUUUGGUCUUUCUGUAAGUCCUUGUACUUUUGACACCUUUCUUGGUAAUGAGUCCUCAAAGUGCUAAUCCCGUACCCUACCGAGCCACAUUCAAAUUCAUUAUCGCAGUAGUUGCAUUUGCACUUCCUAUCAUUACACUACAAGAAAACUAACAAUAGAUGACAGACACUUUGUGACAGAUUAUGAGAGGUCAUAAAAACAUGAUAGAGUCGUGAUAAAUUUUGUGUCAAUCAAGUAUUCAUGACAGACUUGUGAUAGACUCGUGAUAGAAAUAAAUUAUGUCAAGAAUAUGUGACGACAUUGUGAUAGAAUAUAUUACGUCAAGGAUUCAUGAUAGAAUUUUAAUGUUGACUUGAUUUUGGCGUUUUUUUGAAUAAAAUUUUGGGUAUUAUUUAAAAUAAAAUAUUAUAUAACUCAAGAAACGUAGACGUUUUCAUGUAAAUUAGAAUGAUGACGUUUUGCUCAUAAAUUUAAAAUAUUAAAUAUUAUGAAUUUUUUAUUAUAAAUUAAAAAUAAACCUAUUAAAAAUAAACAUAAAGAGUUUAAAUUAAAAAGAUACCCUCGAUCUUCUUUUCUAAGUGUUGAGGCCACCACACACUCUCUCACUGAACUCUUCUCUUACAAAACCACUUGAAACCCUAGCGUCCUCACAGCCACCGUUAAUCCACAUAAGCCCACAGCCACUCUCAAUCGACCUAGGUAAAUGCUCACAUCUACAGCCACCAUGAAUGAAGUUACAGCAAAAAACCACAAUCGCAGCCUCAAUAACUGUAAAUCGCUCUCUCAAAGAACGCUUGUUGUUGCCGUGCCUAUGAACGUUGUUGAUAGCAAAUAAACUUCUAAUUUUUAAGAAAGGGAGCCAAGCAAGGGAGAUGAGAAGGUUGCUUUUGCUUUGAUCAAAGAUUUGCAAAGAAAUCCUAGUGGCUUCAAUGUAUUGGCUGCCCGUCAGGUUGGUUUGCUUUUGCUUGUUUGAUUAGUUUUUGUUAUUUUAUUUUAAUUUUAAAAUGUAAGGAAAAUAAGUUAGUAGAUUUCUAAAAUUGAUUAGCUUUAAAAUUGGAAUCAAUGCAACUAUAAUUAAUUGAUUAAUUUUUGCAGGUCUUUUCUGAUUUUACUAAAGAGGCACGAAGGUGAGAGUUGGAUUAUGAGUUGGUGGGUUAACUCAAUAAGAAUUUGACUUAGCAUGAAGAAACUAAGCUGCAUCUAGUAGUUAACUAUUCUUGUAAGGUUCUGUAAUCUGUAAGAGGAAUAUAGCUAUGAGUUUUCUUAGAAAAUGAUGAAUUUUAUUCUUUUUGUUUCUUAUUAUUAACUUUUAUCAGUUGUAAGAGAUGCUUGUAUUGUAUACCCCUAUGAUGUGUAAAUCUAAUACAGUAUAGUUAUGCUUGAUGACAGUAAUACAACCUUUACUAAUGGUUCUUGUUACUUAGGGACGCUUAUAGAUAAUGUGUCAUUAGCACUAUCUAGGGACCAUUUUCUUUACGGGUAGUAAAAAUUUACUGUUAUUUGUGAUUUUACAUUUAGAUUUUAACUCUUAAGCAUUUUUUAUAGUUUCAGUGGAAUAUGAUCUUUUUGGUAAUUGGUGGAAUCAACCAAGGUUUAAUCUGUGGUCAUUACAUGUUAGUUAUUUCCAUAUGCCUGUGUCUCUGUUUCAUCUUGUUAAUCUUCAAUUUCAUCCUUUUGACCCUUAUUUGUAGUUUGAAGUUUAUUCUUAUAUCUUAAAAAAAUUCAAUAGGUUCUACUCGGGUGCUGUUGUUGGUGCAAGAGGCAUUAAAUUGUGGUUCCCUUCCUCUGUCAAUAUCCCUAAACAAAUGGGUUGAUCUCUAUGCUAAAUGGAAGUAGUUAUAUUUUGCUUAAUCAUCGACAAGUGAUUAUUGGUUUCUGUCUAUUAUAGGAAGAAAGAUGAAAGCUAUGAGAGUGAAUUCAAGGAUACAAUCAGUGUCUUUUUACCUUUGAGAAAUGGUGCUAUUAUAGAUAUUGAAAGGUAAUUUCCAGGUCGUUGCUUGCUCAGUAUACAAAUCCUCACAUCUCCAUUAACCAACAAGGUCUGCCCUUCAAAAGGGACUAUAUCUUCUUUUACUUGUUCUCAGGGUGCAACUCGUCAUAUGACAACACAAAAGAAGAGUAUGAUGGAGAUUGAGUCAGUUGGAGCUGCAGGCAAAUAUGAUAUUGGCCAUGUCAAGAAGUACUUUAGAGGUAAAUAAAAUUUUUGCAGCAUUAUAUUGAGUAAUAUGCUAACUAGAAACUUCAAGCCUUAUAUUAUUUGGUCUAUACUCUCUCUUUCGCUUUCUUGUCAGACAUAAACAUGAAAAUUAUUUAUUUUCCAUAUGAAUUAAAGUAGCUUUACCUUUAACUUUAUUAGCUAUAAGCCUGCAUUUUAGGCUGUAACCUUUUAAAAAUAACUAGCAUAUUUAGCAAGGCAUCCAUGCCCCUAAUUGGCUUUCUAGUCUUUCAAUGAAUUUUAAAUUUCCCAAAACUAAAUGCAACAUGUGAUCUUUUGUUUGUUUGAGUUUCACUGAUCAAACUUACUUUCUUUUUGAAAAAUUGCAUGUUAAAAUGAAAUUCAAUGAAUUAUAUAUAAAUUGAUAAUGCACCUGAAUUCUCAGUAGGGAAAAUUUUUGCUCUGUUCUUAUGUGGGUUUGUUGCUCCAAUCGUUGCCAUACAUGUUGUGUGUCAUGUCCCCCGAAACGUCCCAGCUACAUUUGCUUUGAAGAGGUCACUUGUCAAGACUAUGGCAAAUGCAUGUGACCUUCAGACCUGCACAAUGCAUGCUCUUGUUUCAAGUCUAGGCAUAAUUGUACAAAGGUGAAUUUUUGUUCUAAUUUAGCAAAAUGCUGCAAUAAUACUUGUUGUCUAUAAUUACCUAGAACUCAUUCUAUCUAGCUUUCAUCUAGCUUUUAUAUAAAUAAUUGUAGUCGGCACAAGCUUCUCUAUUAGAUUAUGUAAAUAAAUUAUCCUCUGUAACAAAUUUCAAUAAAGUGUCUAUACCAAGAUGAUAAAAACUUCUCAUUGACUUAGCCGUAUUUAUAUUACGGGUUAGCUUUAUUUGCAUUAUGUUGUCAAACUUGUUCCUUUAUAUCAUGCACAAUUGGUUGUGAUAAAAGUUUAAUCAAUGUUGAACCUUGGUGUGGCUUAGAGCAGCAUAAGGUAGGGCUUCCAUAGAUUGGAUUCAUAGAAUAAUUUGUUCAUCCUCUCAAAAUAGAUUGUGCAUCUUAAUUUAAUUUGGAUGAAAUAUUCUGGCACGGUGGCAUUAAAGACUAUUAACGUGCCAUAGUUUGUUAUCUGUGUUAUGUUUGUUUUCAGGUACUACCAAUUUGGAUUUUGUUGCUGCAUCAAGAUUUUAGCUGUGGUUUUGGCGGACUUGAUUUUUGGUGCAAGUAUUUUGCGGCUGGUGAAAUUGUAGUUUAUUUUGGGAUCGAUGUAAUUUGAAAAUACUUCAACAAUAUAGUUUGUAUAUGAUUAAACUUGUUUUAAUAUAUAUAUUAAAUUUCAUGUAUUUUGUUAUUUAUUUUUUAAAUAUUAUCAUUAGAUUUUCUGAAAAAAUUUGUAGAAUUUGUAAAUUUGAAGAAAUAAUAAUAAUAAUACAAUUCAAAUAAGAAUAACCAAAAUUCAAAAAAAAAAAUAAUAAUAAUAAUAAUAAUAAAGGAUAAUCUAAAAUCAAAAUAAAAAAUAAUAAUAUUUUUUGAUGGAAUAUAAUAAUAUUUUUAAAUAUUAUUAAUUGAAAUAAUAACCAUUUUCCCGCCAAAAAAUUUACAAAAAUGCCAAAAAUUCAAAUAAUUUUGAAAUUCCCACUAAAAUAGUGUGACAUAAAUAUGACUAUUAAAAACUAUCAUAAAUUCAUGAUGGAAAAAUUUUUUGUCAUAAAUUAAUGACAGUGACAUAAAUGACAGAUAUAUUGUCUGUCAUGCACCCCCUUUUAUGACAGUUAUUUUUCGUUAUUUAUUACCUAUUUUCUUGUAGUGUUAUCUGGAAGUCUAGUGGAAUGUUGCUACACUGUUGAUCUUGGUGCCAUUUUUUUCCUUAGUAGUGACGGUUUGGAUGAUGAAGACUUUUUCCUCUCGUUUUCGCUGGUGACAAUUGUUGGCGAAUCAUUUUCAUUAUCAUCGACUUCAACUUCACACUCAAGAUCAUUGGCUACGCAAUCAAGGUUGUCUUGAACUCUUGAAUAAUUAGAUAUCUACAAUGAAUAAAAUAAAAAUAAAUAAGUAAUAUUGAUUUAUUUAACAAGUUAUUGAAAUGAAAAAAAUCAAUUAAAUUUAAUUUAACUACUAGCCAACGUAUCAUAAUUUAAUUUAAUUUAAUAAGUUAGGCCAACAUAUCAUAAUUUACUUCCAAUAAUUGUUAAUUUAAUUUAAAAUGCCCAUGCCAAAAAGAUCAAUUAAAUUUAAUUUAACUACUAGCCAACAUAUCAUAAUUUAAUUUAAUUUAACAAAUUGAGCCAACAUAUCAUAAUUUACUUCCAAUAAUUGUUAAUUUAAUUUAAAACUUUCAUGCCAAAAAGAUCAAUUAAAUUUAAUUUAACUACCAGCCGACAAAUCAUAAUUUAUUUUAUUUUAAUUUAAUUUAAUUAAUUUAACAAGUUAGGCCAACAUAUCAUAAUUUACUUCCAAUAAUUAUUAAUUUAACUUAAAAUAUCCAUGCCAAAUUGCCAAUAUCAAAUUGCAACCUCCCGAAUCUAAUUAAGUCAUUAAUCAUUAUGCCAAAUAAGUUAAAUAAUAAAUAUUUUUCCAAUUUAUCAUUGAUAAAAGCAUGAUACAUUUGUCUAUUUUCAAAUUUUCAAUUCUCGGCCGCAAUAUACAAUACAACCAUUCCACUGCCACAAGCCACAACCACUAUAUCUGCCCACCAUUUUUAACUCCACCAACAAGUAAUAUUUUAUGCAUCAGCAGUCCACAAAAUCAAUCCCUAACACAGUAAGACUAACAAAAACUAAAGAGUAUACAAACUUUGUACAAACACACGGACCAUGGCAUAAAUUAAAAAAAAAAGACACCUGUAGGCUGCAGCACCAAAGAUGACCGUGUGUGAGGGGCUAACGACGGCGUCACCGUGCUGGAGGGGAGGGGUUGUGCCACUGCUGAGGGGCUGUGCUAGGCGUUGUGCACGCGAGGAAGAGAAGGGCUGAGCUGACUCGAGGAAGAGACACGCUCACGAGGAUGAAACCGAGAGGGGGUGAGCUGAAGUUCUGUGCCGUGUGGAGAGGGAGAAACGUGAGGCAGAGAGGCAACAGAGAGAGGCGUGGGAGAAACUAGAGAGCAGAGAGGUCAGGCGAUGAGUUGCAAAUUGAAAUUUAGGGAUUUGAGAGAGGCAUGUAGAGAGUUGAAAUUUUGCUUUAUGGCUUAUAUAUUUUCAAUUAAACAUAUUGUAAUUAAAUCAAAUCAAACCGAUCGAUUUUUUCAGUUUUUGGCGUGUAGAGCAAAAAUCAAUCGGUUCGUUAAUUUUAAAACCAUUCGGUUUUUUCUCAUAGAACCGAACCAAAUUUUUUCCGUUUGUUUCGGUUCGGCAAAAACGGAAUCAUUUG
rnacentral:lncRNA from 1 species